GGAAUCUUCCGCAAUGGGCGAAAGCCUGACGGAGCAACACCGCGUGGAGGAUGAAGGCGUUUUCGUCGUAAACUCCUUUUCUGAGGGAAGAAUUCUGACGGUACCUCAGGCAUAAGCAACGGCUAACUACGUGCCAGCAGCCGCGGUAAGACGUAGGUUGCAAGCGUUAUCCGGAAUUAUUGGGCGUAAAGAGUUCGUAGGCGGUCUGUUAAGUUGGAUGUCAAAUACCAAAGCUCAACUUUGGGAAGGUAUCCAAAACUGGCAGGCUGGAGACAGGGAGAGGUAGAUGGAAUUCUGCAUGGAGGGGUAAUAUCCGUAGAUAUGCAGAGGAACACCAAAAGCGAAGGCAGUCUACUGGCCCUGUUCUGACGCUGAGGAACGAAAGCGUGGGGAGCGAAC
rnacentral:rRNA from 1 species